rnacentral:rRNA from 1 species
GAUGAACGCUGGCGGCGUGCUUAACACAUGCAAGUCGAGCGGAAAGGCCCAAGCUUGCUUGGGUACUCGAGUGGCGAACGGGUGAGUAACACGUGGGUGAUCUGCCCUGCACUUCGGGAUAAGCCUGGGAAACUGGGUCUAAUACCGGAUAGGACCACAUUUUGGAUGGUGUGGUGGAAAGUUUUUCGGUGUGGGAUGAGCUCGCGGCCUAUCAGCUUGUUGGUGGGGUAAUGGCCUACCAAGGCGUCGACGGGUAGCCGGCCUGAGAGGGUGUACGGCCACAUUGGGACUGAGAUACGGCCCAGACUCCUACGGGAGGCAGCAGUGGGGAAUAUUGCACAAUGGGCGCAAGCCUGAUGCAGCGACGCCGCGUGGGGGAUGACGGCCUUCGGGUUGUAAACUCCUUUCGCUAGGGACGAAGCGCAAGUGACGGUACCUGGAGAAGAAGCACCGGCUAACUACGU